AGCUUCGGCAGGAUUUUAUCUAUCUUAGUGGCGGACGGGUGAGUAACGUGUGGGCAACCUGCCCUGUACUGGGGAAUAAUCAUUGGAAACGAUGACUAAUACCGCAUGUGGUCCUCGGAAGGCAUCUUCUGAGGAAGAAAGGAUUUAUUCGGUACAGGAUGGGCCCGCAUCUGAUUAGCUAGUUGGUGAGAUAACAGCCCACCAAGGCGACGAUCAGUAGCCGACCUGAGAGGGUGAUCGGCCACAUUGGGACUGAGACACGGCCCAAACUCCUACGGGAGGCAGCAGUGGGGAAUAUUGCACAAUGGGCGAAAGCCUGAUGCAGCAACGCCGCGUGAAGGAUGAAGGGUUUCGGCUCGUAAACUUCUAUCAAUAGGGAAGAAACAAAUGACGGUACCUAAAUAAGAAGCCCCGGCUAACUACGUGCCAGCAGCCGCGGUAAUACGUAGGGGGCAAGCGUUAUCCGGAAUUACUGGGUGUAAAGGGAGCGUAGGCGGCAUGGUAAGCCAGAUGUGAAAGCCUUGGGCUUAACCCGAGGAUUGCAUUUGGAACUAUCAAGCUAGAGUACAGGAGAGGAAAGCGGAAUUCCUAGUGUAGCGGUGAAAUGCGUAGAUAUUAGGAAGAACACCAGUGGCGAAGGCGGCUUUCUGGACUGAAACUG
rnacentral:rRNA from 1 species